ACUUCCAGAACCAGUUCCUCUGCAAACUUCGUACAAACAAGACAUGGGUUUCCUGGCCUACCUCGCUGUGACAGCUGUCGGUGCAGCAGUGUUAGUAGUCCCGGGUCUGGGUGCCUUGGUAUUACCGUGGCUGGGGUUCGGCACCGCAGGUGUGGUUCCUGGCACUAUAGCCGCUUCUGCCCAAAGCUGGAUAGGAGGGACCGUGGUAGCUGGCUCUAUCUUUGCCGCCCUCCAAGCCUUGGCCACGCGAAAUAACGGAAGGAAAUAAAUCUCAGGUGUCGGAGGUGAAAUUGAAAAGCAAUUUGAAGGUGUUGGAGUGCCACCAAGCCAAGUGCAUUUAUAUAUUGUGAAUUUUUAUUCCAUACCACCAGUGCUUUGUAUUCAUUAUUUCUUAACUCUUGUGUUUUGUACUGCCAAAAAUACAUUUUAAAAAUUGUUUUCAA